AGCCAUGGGGAUGUAGAAAACCAGUUUUGGUACCAAGACUCUUGUUGUUCUCUCUCUCUCCUUCGUUUUUCUAGGCUAUCUCUCACCUUUUUUAGACUGUCUUCUACAAGUCCAGUCUUAUCUACAUAAACACAGCAUUCCUCGUUUAAGGCUGCACAAAGUCCUCCUUGUUGUAGGAAAAUUAAGUCUAGGCCUCUUCUAUUUUGUAAGACUACUUCAGACAACGAGGCAACUGAGUCUUUUAAGUUAGCUAAUCCAUCUCUUAAUUCAGCAAUAUCCUUAUCUAUGGCUUCACUAAGCUGGUUAUAGUAUUGAUGGGAAGUAACGAGGGAAGCGAUGCCAGUGCCUGCACCCGCGGCCCCUAGACCUAGGAGAACGGCGAGAGUGAUGGCAGUUACUGGUUCUCUUUUUACCUUGUGAGGCAUAUCCGAGCCCUUUUCCCAGGAUUUAAGAAAAGUCUCUGGCUCAUGUAUGCUGAGUCUGGGAAAUAAUUGAACCAGCACACAGUAAUCUUUAGUCUUUAAAAAUUGAGAUGUUAUAACAUAUGUGGUUAGACCAGUGGAACAUGCUAGAUAAGUAUACUUGGGGGCUUGUAAAUAUGUAUUUUGAUUGUCAAUGAUUAUGGUAUGAUUACAUAUUUCUAAUAAUUGUUUAGGGAGGAGCAUGUUCUUCCCGAGGAGGCAGCUUCCUAUCCCUGAGACUUCUGUGAUAGUGAGUUCUAUGGUGUUCCAAAAGAGACCACCAGUGUUAUUAGUAUAUGUGAUGUUGCCAAAAGUGGCUAUACCCUCAUAGAAAGGAGGGUUAGCUGAAAAACACAUCCAGCAUUCCUCAUAAAUAGAGGUAUUUGUUUCCUGUUCAUGAUAUACCAAGGCAAGAGCUGAGGCGUUAAGAACAGAUAAAAUCAGGCUUGUGGGGGACAUUGGCCCAACAGUUUAGGGAGCGAUCUCUGUGGGAUCCGGGACAGACAUAAAAGUCAGUUUCCCUAAUGUUGGUGCGUCGAUGGACAGUGUCACAACCGACAUAUCUUUCAUUAAAACUAGACCCAUGAGGGGCUUCAAUUAGGGGGGUGUUCCAAGGCGAAGUGGACUGUUCAAGGUGCCCUUGUAAUAAUUGUUCCUGCACCAACUGUAGGGCCGCUUGAACCUUUUCUUGAGGCAUGGACCACUGAUCGAUCCAGACUGGAUCAUUUGACUUCCAAGAUAUUUUAUCAGCCUGGAGUGCAGGAGGAACAGCGGUCUCUAUGAAAAAAGGUCAGGAGCUUUGAACUUUGGAGUGUAUCCUGUGUUUGAUCUAUCCUUUUAAAUGUGUGGCAGUAGCCUUAAGGGGCCAGGUUGAGGGCCAGUGUCUAGAGGAGAGCACUGUUGUAUCCGCCCCUGUAUCUAAAAGGCCCUGAAAUUGUUUGCCAUCAAGCCAAAGAGACAUCAUGGGUCUUUCAUCAGUUAAUUUUUGCACCCAAUAGACAUCUGAAGAGCCAGGGGAGGAAGAACCACGCCCCUUUACUUUAUGAGGGAACUGCCCCAUGAAGGGAAGCGGUAAGGCCUGUGCAAUGCGUUGUCCGGCUCUAAGCGUUAAGGGGCCCUGCGUGGCAGUGGCUAGAAAUUUUAUUUCUCCAGAAUAAUCAGCAUCUAUUACAGAGGGAAGGAUGACAAGUCCUUGAAGAGCACUCGAGGCUUGCCCAAUUAUUAAGAAAAACAUGCCAGGCGGCGGGGGCCCAAACUUUCCAGAUUCUAUGAUAACAGUCCCUUCCUCAGGGGUUAUAAUCCUGGUGGUGGAGGAACACAGGUCCACUCCUGCACUUCCUGCUGUUGCCCGGGAUAAGUUGGCGUUGCAGGAGCUUGAUGCUGCACUUGGGGGCGGGUGGUCACCCGUGG